CCGGAUCUGGCGACAAGCUCCUGGGACGGCGCCAGAUCAGAAGAAGAGGAGGGCCUCGGCGUGGUCUCUGUAGGUAGAAAACGUGACUGGGCAGUCAGCAAGGAGCGACGCGAGGAGAGGAAAAAGGAAGGCCGGAGAGGCAUGGCUUGACGGCAGAGCUCACCUCCGACGAUGCGGCGGCGCGGGGAAGGUCCUGGCGACGAUGAGGAGGCAGCAGCAGAGGACGCUUGAGGCAGGGCCGGAACCUGCCAGCGUCGUCACGGACGAGCACAAGGCAGAGGAGGCGGGGAUGGCGCUGCGGUUGGAUGCAGGCGGUCAACACGAAGCAGAGGAGGCCGGGGCGGCAACGAGAUGAAGGACGGCGGGGACGAGGUGGCCAACUGAAGGAGGGCCGCAGCGGGAACUUGGCGUCCAUGGCGUCGGCUGGAGGCGGUGGGGUCCUGGAUCCGAUCGAGAUGGGGAAGGGCGGCCGACAUGGUCGUCGUUGGGACUGGGUCGCCGGAGCGGCGCGGUGACGAGGCCAAGGCUGACUCCUUUCGGUCCCUGCGAGAAGACGCAGAGGAAGAGAGAGAUGAGAUGAUGGAGAUGGAAACAGAGGGAAGAAGGAAAGGGAAAGGGCGAGGGAGUCAUGGCCUGGCGCUCCGGUGGCGUGGAGCUGCGGCCGGAGAUGCUGCCAGCGGAGACACGCAGCCAUGGUCGAGGCAGCUGCUCGGGCGCGGGCGUCGGUUGGGUGGACGGGACGCGUCCAGGGAGGACAGAGGGAGCUGGUGAUUGGAGCGACGGGGAAUCGAGGGAAGAGGGUGGAGGCAGUUGCUGGUUGGAUCGGGAGGAGAUCCCGAGGAAGAAAGGGAGGUGGGUGGCGGCGGCUCAGGAAUAGGUGGAUGGAUGGGACUGGAUCCCUAGUUUCUAGGGUUACAGUAGACUGAUUAUAUAGUGAGUGGGUUAGUUUAGGGGCUAUUCUAGCCCCUCCGAUUGUAAUCGGACGGUCGCGAAAAAAUAGCUAGGGAGUCCAAAUAAGAAAACGGAGAUGUUUUAUAGAUGUUAGCGGAUUAUCCGGACCCAUCGGUAACAACAAACCAGGUCGGGUUCGGGACAAUUUUCGGACGCGCGCGAGGGGUGGUCUGAGAGGGAUCGACAAAGACAAAGUGUCUGACAAAAGGCCCCGGAGAAGACAAGAGAGAAAACGAGGAGCAAUGUUGCAAGUGUGGUUGGUCUCGAAACGGUCAACGAAAGCAAGGGGGGACGUGGCAACUAUGAGCGGAUGCAAGUUUUAUGAAAACAUGCAGAUGCAAUGCGAUGAUGAAUGCAACAAACACAUAAAUACACACAACGAUAACGAAAAAAACAUGGAAGCCGUCUGGAGCGUCGGUCUCGGGGCAUUACAACCCUCCACCACUACAAGAGGAUCUCGUCCCGAGAUCUAGGAUGGCACCGGAGAGAAACGGAAGAGGAAGAGGUAAAACAAAGUUGCUUCUUUGACAAACGAGUGAACCCAAAGAACCUUGAGAGGUCGCAAAGCUUGAAGAAAUGACACGACGGAGGUGAACAAAAUUUAAAACUCUCCGUUCAGCAAGAGGAACAAGGAACAUUACAAGAACCUUGUAGGUUGAAAAACAUGGAAAUAAGAGCUUCACGAAUGAAAAGAAUAUGACCACACCGAUAGAAAAGAGAAACAAGGAACACCAUGUGAACUUUGGAGUUUGCAAAGCUAUGAAUGACGAGAACAAUGGACGAGAAGUACAUGCAAGCACUCCGGUUGAAACGAGAUGUAGAAGGAACGAUAAUGAUCAAUUACGAUAACGCUCCGGUUGGAAAAUGGGAGGGAUAGAAUAUGAACUUGGCAAAAUGAAAGCACUUGGAUGAGACUUCGGUUAAAAGAGGAAUGAUAGACACAACACUCCGGUUAAAUGGAUUAGUAAGAAAUGAACACGAUCCUCACAAUUCGAGAUGAUGAGCGAAGAGAGCAACAUCACCAUGCCUCUGGAAGAAAAAAUAGAAGGUAGAUCAUUGGAAUAAAGGAAUGGAGAAGAAAAAGCCAACUUCUGCCACCAAUGAUCUUGGAAAGCACCCUUCCAAGAAGGUUAGAACGGAGUUGUUGGAAAAACCAACAACGAAACGAAUAAGCCUGUAGUGGGCUUAUAGAAAACUUCUCAAGAUAGAGGCAAAACUCUGCCACUACGGAAACAGUUGAUUGGAUUGAGAUCAACAAGGAGAAGAAAACUUCUUCACCAAGAUGAGAAGGAGAAAAUUUGAUCAUUGAUAAACACCACAAAUAGCUACAUUCCUUAGGGAAGGCUAUAGGUGAAAUAUAACCCAAUACAACUCCAACAAAAAGAUUGAUUGGUUGAAAAGAUCUCUUGAACGAAGAUAAAAUGAUGGAUUUAAAUAUGUCAUUCCUGACGACUUGUGUAUCAUGAAACACGAGGAGAAAUUUGCCAAAAGUGACAUAACACCAUCUCAAGAGAUAAGGUAGAAAGAAUUGCACUUUGGAAUGCAAGAUGAAGAAUACUUGAGCUCCUCAAAACAAAACAUGUGUUGAGCACCAUGUUUAUUUUUAGAGUAUAGCUUGGCGGAUCUUAACUCCGAGAGAAAUCUUGAAGAACAAUUGAAGAAUGAAAGGAAUCCUUGACGAAGCACCAUGUAGAGCCUCUAUGAAUAACUCCGGUAAUAAAAGGAUGAUAAAAAGAAAGAAAAGUUUAAAACACAAGGUGAAGCCUUGCGAUGAUUUAGAAGGAGCUACGCGAUGAGAUAAUGCCGAAAACUUGGAAUUCCGGAAAAGAAAGAUGAAGCAACUCGAACCAAGAAAUGUGACAUGAUGAACAACUCUGGAAAGAAGAAAUUAGACCACUUGGAUGAAACAAUAAUAAGAAUUAUGUUAUGCAUAUCCUUCACCAAUUUAAAUUGAUGACAAGCAACGGAUUUGGCAUACUACUUAUUCUCGUAGAAAGGAUUAAGAUAGAUAUGGCACAAACUUGGGAAGGUCUUCAACGAAUCACCGGUAGGAUUGGAAAGAAUGAAUGAAUCUAUAUGAUAACGAAGGAAGAGAACUCUUGAGCGAACCACCGUAAGAAUUGAAAAUGAACGAAGAAAAGAUAAAUAAACACUGGGAAGAAUUAGAAAAUGAACGAAGAUACUUGAGAGAAUUUAGAUACAAGUGAAACGAAGAUAUCAUGAACUGAUUAGAGGAUAUUUGAACGAUGCACCGGUAAGAUUUGGAGAACGAGAGCUGAAUGUUGAGAACGAAUAAAUCUUCUGAAAUGAUGGCCUUCGGAGAAUCAAAAAAAUGAAAACAACUCUGAAAUGCUCCGGAUGGGUAAGAAAAGAAUUGCGCGAUUGGAAACAAUUUGAGAGGAUGGCAACAAGUUAUAACCAUGAAUCUUCAAGAGAACGGACCAAGAUUCAAGAGAAAUUCUUCUAUCUUGAUCUUGAAAUGUUGAGAAUGACGAUGAGAAACACCACCAUGAGUUGUGGAGGCACUCCGGAAUGAAAAUUAGAAAGGUUGAACCAACGAUGAAAAGAAUUUCAAAGAUCUUGGAGAAAGACAUAUGACUGAUGAUAACCCAUUCUUACGUCAAACUUUGAAAAUAAUUUUAGAAGCUCCAGGAAAAUUAGAAGAGUCAGGUAAGGUCCUGGGAAAAGACCUGUGGGUUAGGGCCCACUCAAAAGAACCACCGUUGAAAGAUUGCUUGAAAAGAGAGACUGCACCGGUUGAAUUAAAUGGCUUGAAUGAGGUAACAACCUCAAAAUAGUUAGAAUUGAUGCGGAGUGGAAACACGAAUCUUCAGAGAUAUCUUCAGCACUCCGGAACAAUUGAAUAGCAAGCGGGGAAUGAUUAAGAGAUAUACCGGCAUGAAAAAGCAUUUGAAAGGAGGAAAGGGCUAUAAUCAACACUGAAAGCUUCAAUUGGAUCCACCGGAAAAGAAUACGAGAAUGAAGAAUGAUAAACUUGAAGCUUCCUGAGCAUCUUCCUGAGAAUCACCAGAUAAGAAGAUUGAUGGAAAAGAAUGGAGAAACUUCACAUCCAUAAAAAGGAUACUUGAUUAAGAAAUCUGAGUCCUUGAAGAAAAGGGUGGGAGGGUGGGAAAACAAAGGCAACUUGGGUCGGAUGAAAAGAACACCGUUGAGAAAAAACUUAGAACUGAUCUUGCGAAUGUUGGAAUGACUGGAUGCACUUGAAGAGAAAAACGCCGGUUGGAAAGAAUUGGGAUGACAAUCUCGAUGAUCAAGAAGGAUUGGUAUUCACAUAGAAGUAUGAGAACACCUCUUAGGAAAGGUAGGGAAUCAACACUUGACUUCGACGCAACUCGAAUACCACAAACCAAAACAAAACAAAGGAUUGGCUUAGGAAAUAAGCCGGAAACAAACAUAUGAUAGAUCCCAUAUCGUAUCAUGUGUGUGUUGGAAAGAUAUCCUACGAGAUACUUGAAUUCCCACUUAUAAACUCCCGAAACUUUCUGGUUAUGCAAUCAGGUGUUGGGGAUACAGGGGACACAAUAUAUCUCACCCAAACUAACAAUACCUAGAUCCAGCUGUAUCCAUCCUUCAACACAUAACCAAGAAACCUUCGGAAAUCAUUUACCUCAACCUUCGAAAAGCAUCCGUUAUACGAGUUAUGGAAAUACUCCCGAACUCCCGCCCCAGUACUGGGUGGCGUCGAGGUGAUCUCACCAACAACUGCAUAAAAGAGAUUUUUGAUGUCGGCGAAACUCAGGUAUUCCAGAACUGCAACGAUAAAAUUGUGACGACAACACCUCGGAGCUCAACUCCCCGGGACACUGCCACAACCCCUAAAUGUCAGGAGGCACCAAGAACAAUGUUCUCGUCACAAAACCAUCGGAACGAUUCCAAGGUACCCGCGUGAUCCUAAAUUUUUUUAGUGAAAUAUGAGGAGAGGAAAAUCAAAACAUCUACGUCAGGAGACCUCACCAGAGCGACGAAGGGACUGAGGAGUAAAAAGAAUCCUACUCUCCGAUAUAUAUAAUCCUAAGACUCAAAACAUUUUUUUAGACUCAACAACGCUAGUGAUUCGAUCAAGCAGGGGGCUCCUAAGUCGGGGAUGGCUCUGAUUACCAACUUGUAACGCCCACGAUGCGGCUAUAUCUCCCACGUGUCGAGGCACGACUUAGAGGCAUAACCGCAUUGUGGUUUUGUCGCAAGAAGGGUCAUCUUCACACAAUCCCAUGUAAUGAACAAGAAUGGGAUAAAGAGUUGGCUUACAAUCGCCACUUCACACAAUACAUAAAUAAAUCAUACAUCAAUCAGAGUACACACAUAGGUCCGACUACGGAACCAAAAUAAAAGAAGACAACCCUAAAUGCUAGAUCCCCGAUCGUCCCAACUGGGCUCCACUACUGAUCAACAGGAAAAGAAACAUAGUACUCGUCGAACUCCCACUUGAGCUCGGUUGUAUCACCUGCACUGGUAUCGUCGGCACCUGCAACUGUUUUGGAAGUAUCUGGUGAGUCACGAGGACUCAGCAAUCUCACACCCGCGAGAUCAAGAGUAUUUAAGCUUAUGGGUAGGAGAAGGUAGUGAGGUGGAGCUGCAGCAAGCACUAAGCAAAGAUGGUGGCUAACAUACGCAAAUAAGAGCAAGAAGAGGAGCAACGGAACAGUCGUCAACUAGUAAUGAUCAAGAAGUGAUCCUGAACUCCUACUUACGUCAAACAUAACCCAAAAGCCGUGUUCUCUUCCCGGACUCCGCCGAAAAGAGACCAUCACGACUACACACGCGGUUGAUGCGUUUUAAUUAAAUCAAGUGUCAAGUUCUCUACAACCGGACAUUAACAAAUUCCCAUCUGCCACAUAACCGCAGGCACGGCUUUUGAAAGAUAAUACCCUGCAGGGGGGUCCCAACUUAGCCCAUCACAAGCUCUCACAGUCAACGAAGGAUAUUCCUUCUCCCGGGAAGACCCGAUCAGUCUCGGAAUCCCGGUUUACAAGACAUUUCGACAAUGGUAAAACAAGACCAGCAAGACCACCCGCUGUGCCGACAAAUCCCGAUAGGAGCUGCACAUAUCUCGUUCUCAGGGCACACCGGAUGAGCCAGACGUCGGGUUGGCAUAGACCCUGGUUGCCCAGGCGUGCCGGACAUCGCUCGGUUUGGACCAGCACUCGAAGGAGCACUGGCCCGGGGGUAAAUAAAGAUGACCCUUGAGUCUGCAGAACCCAAGGGAAAAAAGGCUUAGGUAGGCAAAUGGUAAAACCAAGGUUGGGCCUUGCUGGAGGAGUUUUAUUCAAAGCGAACUGUCAAGGGGGUCCCAUAAAUCACCCAACCGCGUAAGGAACGAAAAAUCAAGGAACAUAACACUGGUAUGACGGAAACUAGGGCGGCAAGAGUGGAACAAAACACCAGGCAUAAGGCCGAGCCUUCCACCCUUUACCAAGUAUAUAGAUGCAUUAAUUAAGACAAGAGAUACUACGAUAUCCCAACAUAAACAUGUUCCAACAUGGAACAAACUUCAUCUUCACCUGCAACUAGCAACGCUAUAAGAGGGGCUGAGCAAAAGCGGUAACAUAGCCAAACAACGGUUUGCUGGGAAAGGUGGGUUAGAGGCUUGGCAUGGCAAUAUGGGAGGCAUGAUAUAGCAAGUGGUAGGUAGCGCGGCAUAGCAAUAGAGCGAAACAACUAGCAAGCAAAGAUAGAAGUGAUUUCGAGGGUAUGGUCAUCUUGCCUGAGAUCCCACUAGGAAGAAGAACGAGUCCGUGAAGAAGACAAGCGGACGUAGUCGAACGAAUCCUCACAACUCCGGAACGAAACCGAAGCUAACGAGAGAAGCAACCCGGAAAGAAAUAAACAACAUAGUAAACAACCACCACAUACACAUGGCAUGAUGCACAAACAAGUAUGAUGCAUGUCCGGUUUAAAUAUGCAUGGCAUGGCAAAGUGCACAAACAAUACUACAAGUUAAGUUGAGCUCAAUAUGCAACGGGUUGCAUAUUGGAGAAACACCACAUUUAAUUAUUUAGUUCCCUCUUGUUUAUGUACCCAACAAUAUUAAAUGUUAUUCAACAUGACAAGGGGUGAAGCAUAAAUAAACUAUCUAUUUAGGCAAGUUUAAAUGAGGCCGGAAAUAACAAACAACAAUUCCGGAAAAUCCUCAUAUGCAUAUUUUAGAUUUGGCACUGUUCUGUCCUAAAGCAUAUUUUAGAGUUGUUAAACAUCAAAAUAAAGUGAACCAAGUUAAUCUAUGCAUUAUUCUACCCCAUUUACAUAUAAAGUUUAUUAAAUUCGGAGCUACGGUUAUUAAGUUAUGAAAUAAAGCAUUUUAGCAUGGCAUUUGAGCAAAUUUAAUCAAACAGCAAUUUAAACAUUUCAAACAUGGAUGAAAGUAGCAUAUUAUGAAACUAGACAAAAUUCUAAGCAUUUUACAUGUUUAAAUCAUUUUAAUCCGAUGCACGGUUAAUUCGUUAUUAGAUGCAUGAACAUAUAGGGGUUUUUCUGUAAAAACUGUAAUUCCUGGAAUAAUCAUUAAAUCGCAGCACGGGAAAAAACAUGACAUGAGCCGAAUAUGAUAGCCCAACAGAAGGGAAAGGAGGUGCUAGGGGUUUAUCACCAUGGGCUUGGCCCAUCUGCAGAGGAGGCCAGCUUGGGGCGCUGGGCCUCACGCGACGGAGGGGAGCAGCUGGGCCUGGGCGCGGUCAACGCACGCAGGCGACGCGCAGUCGUGGCUCGAGGCGGGGGUGUCGACCUCCUGCUCAAAGCAGAAGCAGAAGCAGAGGAGGAGGCGGCCGGACUUGGCGCGGCGGCCUGGAGAAGCUUGGGUCUCCGGCGAAGGGCGGCGCGACGGGGAGGCUACGGGUGAGGAAGGCCCGGAUCUGGCGGCAAGCUCCUGGGACGGCGCCAGAUCAGAAGAAGAGGAGGGCCUCGGCAUGGUCUCUAUAGGUAGAAACCAUGACUGGGCAGUCAGCAAGGAGCGACGCGAGGAGAGGAAAAAAGAAGGCCGGAGAGGCAUGGCUUGACGGCGGAGCUCACCUCCGACGAUGCGGCGGCGCGGGGAAGGUCCUGGCGACGAUGAGGAGGCAGCAGCAGAGGAUGCUUGAGGCAGGGCCGGAACCUGCCAGCGUCGUCGCGGACGAGCACAAGGCAGAGGAGGCGGGGAUGGCGCUGCGGUUGGAAGCAGGCGGUCAAUACGAAGCAGAGGAGGCCGGGGCGACAACGAGAUGAAGGACGGCGGGG
rnacentral:lncRNA from 1 species